rnacentral:rRNA from 1 species
GAGACAGCAGUAGCCGCGGUAAAACAGAGGGUGCGAGCGUUAAUCGGAUUUACUGGGCGUAAAGCGUGCGUAGGCGGCUUUUUAAGUCGGAUGUGAAAUCCCUGAGCUUAACUUAGGAAUUGCAUUCGAUACUGGGAAGCUAGAGUAUGGGAGAGGAUGGUAGAAUUCCAGGUGUAGCGGUGAAAUGCGUAGAGAUCUGGAGGAAUACCGAUGGCGAAGGCAGCCAUCUGGCCUAAUACUGACGCUGAGGUACGAAAGCAUGGGGAGCAAACAGGAUUAGAUACCCGUGUAGUCCCUGUCUCUUAUAC